UUCCCGAAUUUAGAAGAGCUAUUUUUUUUAUUGUUAUAAAUAUUAAUAAUAUGUAAUUAGAUGUUAAUAUAUCUGGUUUUCUAAGAAAAUUCAAUUUUGUUAUAUUUAAGGGGAUUAGCUUUUAAUAGGAUUAGAAAUUUUGUUAUAUUUAGUCUAUUAGAAUUUUUUUUUUAAUUUUAAAAUUAAUAAUGAUUAAAUUAGUAUAAGGUUUUGAUAAGGAAUUCGGCAAAAAUUUCUUACCUGUUUAUUAAAAACAUGUCCUUUUGAAUAUAAUUUAAGGUCUAGCCUGCCCACUGAGGCCGCGGUAUUCUGACCGUGCAAAGGUAGCAUAAUAAUUAGUUUUUUAAUUGAAAGCUGGAAUGAAUGGUUGGAUAAGGAAAUGACUGUCUCUUUAAAAUAGAAUUUUAUUUUUAAGUUAAAAAGCUUAAAUUUUAUUAAAAGACGAGAAGACCCUAUAGAGUUUUAUUUUGGUUGGGGUGAUUGAAAAAUUAAAAAAACUUUUGAUUAUAAGAAUAAAUUACCUUAGGGAUAACAGCGUAAUUUUUUUUAGAGUUCAAAUCGAAAAAAGAGUUUGCGACCUCGA
rnacentral:rRNA from 1 species